GGUCUUUUGGAAUGGGGACAGCAUAUAUGGUUCAGACUACAAACUGCUUCUGUGUGACUAAGAGAAGAAGAAUCAGAGUAAAGAGAAACAUACUCUCUUAAUCUCCGAAGAUUAACGGCAGGAGGAGCUCUAGAAUUUCACAAAGGUGCUGUCAGGACACAUGAAAAUCUAGAGAAAAAGACCAGCUUGAAGAGACCAAAAAGAAGAAAGCCUGCCAAUCACAUCCUCCAGAGAUUCUGAGACACACACACCCCUGGUGUAGGGGGACACCAUCUGAAAGGUGACACCCAUUCUACGGAAUAUAAGUACCAGCUAAAGAGGACACACACUUGAAGAAAAAGGAGACAAUGAGGAAAACACUCCUUCCUGUGUGUGCCCCAGCAAAGCACAAUUCAAUGAAACUGACUUUCUAAAGAAACCAAAAGUUGGGGCUGGAGAGAUGGCUCAGUGGUUAAGAGCACUGACUGCUCUUCAAGAUGUCCUGAGUUCAAUUCCCAGCAACCACAUGGUGGCUCACAACGAUCCAUAAUGAGAUCCAAUGCCCCCUUCUGGUGUAUCUGAAGACAGCUACAGUGUACUCACAUACAUAAAAUAAAUAAAAUCUUGAAAAAAGAAAAAAGAAA
rnacentral:lncRNA from 1 species